UUUGACCCAGCAGGAGCAGACCCUGGCUCAGUCGCAGGGUGGAUGGUUGUCCCCAGGAGGAAGGGGAGGAGUCGUUGGAGGAGGAGGACGAGGAGAGGUUGGGGGGAGCACUUGCAGGAAUAGGAGGAGGAGGAGGUGGCGGUGGCGGCGGCGGCGGCGGCGCGGGAAGUCAGGCGAAUGCGGUGGACAUAAUCCAGAUGUUGACCAAGGCGCGCACCGAGUAUGACAAGUCUGCGUCAGAACCAAAGGAGAUCGGAGGCAGCAGCGUUCUUCAUGGAAACCCCAACCUGAUCAAACCGAUACCUGUUAAACCGAACAAGCAGGACAGUGACACUCAGCCCAAGCCUCUCUCUCUGGCCACUCUUUUUGGCUCUCAACACUCACCCAAACCCGAAACGGUCCCUCCCAUGGCCGCCCCCGAGACGGGGGCGUCGGUGGAGCGAGUGGCGCGCCCGCCCGUGGCCCGCUCCCUGAAAUACGGCGACGCGGUGAACUCCAGCAGGGGCGCGGCCUCCGAGGGAGGCGCCGCGGUCAGCCGUCCAGACGCGGCGCCGAGGGCUACGGUUGGAGGACAAACAGUCGGGCAGCACGGCGGGAACGCCGUCGGGGGGCUCGCUGCCGAGUCCCACUGGCGCCCGUCAGCAGCAGCAGCAUCCUCCCCAGCACUGCCCGGCCAUCCAGAAACUCAUGCAGGGACAGGGAGCGGUCGCGGUGGUCGGAGGUGGUCUUCAGACCCUGUCCGAGUCCCCCGAGAACCGGCUGUGUGACAACGGGGUGCCGCUGGAGCUUCACCACCACCAUCACCACCUGUACCAUCAUCAUCACCAGCAGCACCACCUUCAUCAUCAACAGCAGCUGCAGCAGCUGCAACAACAGCAGCAGCAGCAGCAGCUCCAUGCUGACCCAAUCAUGAGACUUUUCCAAACCCAGCCCACGCCGCCCUCCACCAACCUUCCCGCUUUGCAGCAGAGCCCCCAUCGGUCCUCGCAGACCCUGCUGGUGGAUUCGGUCUCCUGUUCACACCUCCAAGCGCAACAAAGCCAGCAGCUGUUUUUCAACCUAGCUAAAUCUCAGACGGAGGCACAGGGCAACAGCCGGUCCGCUUCAACUAUACAGGGGCCAGGUUUGCUUCUAUCUCAGGUGACCGCCGACCAAGUCCUUCAAUCUUUACAAGGUCCGUCUUCCCAGAUGCCGGGUGUGGUGUCGCCCCAUGAGCUCCUGCAGAAGCUCCAUGUGGUCCAGCAGGAGCAAAGCCUGACUCCCCACGAUCCCCCGCGACUCUGUCCGGGACUGGCCCCUCGGUUCUUUGGGCCCACUCAAAGUCAGGGGCCGGUCUCUAACCAGACCACGGCCACCGCGGGGCAAAAGGCAGCGCUGCAGUUUCAGGUCAUCUCCCCCCCAGCGGAUACCAGCCACUGUGGCCCCCAACCUGCUCCUCUCCCCUAG
ensembl:lncRNA